GGAGCCACGUUCCUUGUACAUAGAAGAUGAGAUGGAUGUUGAAGGACAGGAGCCACAUUCCUUGCACACAGAAGAUGAGAUUGAUGUUGUAGGACAGGAGCCACAUUCCUUGCACACAGAAGAUGAGAUUGAUGUUGAAGGACAGGAGCCAUGUUCCUUGCACACAGAAAAUGAGAA